UACAGAGGUCUCAAGCGUUGUUCGGAUUCAUUGGGCGUAAAGGGGUGCGAUAGGCGGCGCGGUAAGUCGGGUGUGAAAUCUCGGAGCUUAACUCCGAAACUGCAUUCGAUACUGCCGUGCUUGAGGACUGGAGAGGAGACUGGAAUUUACGGUGUAAGCAGUGAAAUGCGUAGAGAAUCGUAAGGAAGACCAGUGGCGAAAGG
rnacentral:rRNA from 1 species